rnacentral:ribozyme from 1 species
AGAAAAGCAACUCCUAUCCCUACCUCCCCGUGGUAUUGGCCGGAAACUGCGAACAACCACGGGAAAUAUUGAUCACCGACAGGAAAGG